UAUGGAGAGUUUGAUCCUGGCUCAGGACGAACGCUGGCGGCGUGCUUUACACAUGCAAGUCGAGCGAUGAGAUCCCUCCGGGGAUGGAUUAGCGGCGAACGGGUGAGGAACACGUGAGGAAUCUACCUUCAACACUGGGAUAACUCCGGGAAACCGGGGCUAAUACCGGAUACGAGAUCGGCAGGCAUCUGCUGCUCUGGAAAGUUUUUCGGUUGAAGAUGACCUCGCGGCCUAUCAGCUUGUUGGUGAGGUAAUGGCUCACCAAGGCGACGACGGGUAGCCGGCCUGAGAGGGCGACCGGCCACACUGGGACUGAGACACGGCCCAGACUCCUACGGGAGGCAGCAGUGGGGAAUAUUGGGCAAUGGAGGAAACUCUGACCCAGCGACGCCGCGUGCGGGAUGAAGGCCUUCGGGUU
rnacentral:rRNA from 1 species